rnacentral:rRNA from 1 species
AAUUGCCUACGGGAGGCAGCAGUGGGGGAUAUUGCACAAUGGGGGGAACCCUGAUGCAGCGACGCCGCGUGGGUGAAGGAGCGUUUCGGCGCGUAAAGCCCUAUCGGCAGGGAAGAAGAUGACGGUACCUGACCAAGAAGCCCCGGCUAACUACGUGCCAGCAGCCGCGGUAAUACGUAGGGGGCAAGCGUUAUCCGGAUUUAAUGGGGGUAAAGGGGGCGGAGAAGGCCAGACAAGUCUGAAGUGAAAAUCCAGCG